GAGAUCGGAUAACACCUGGAAACAGAUGCUAAUACCGGAUAACAACAGAUGAUGCCUAUCAACUGUUUAAAAGNUGGUUCUGCUAUCACUAUUGGAUGGACCUGCGGUGCAUUAGCUAGUUGGUAGGGUAACGGCCUACCAAGGCGAUGAUGCAUAGCCGAGUUGAGAGACUGAUCGGCCACAUUGGGACUGAGACACGGCCCAAACUCCUACGGGAGGCAGCAGCC
rnacentral:rRNA from 1 species